UCUUGUGUUUAAGAAGGAUAGUAUGAACCGAGUUAAAACUUUUCAGCACUUCCAUGACAGAAUUGCCUUCCUUUUUGAUUUCUUGGAUGUAAGUUUGGAAUACACUCAUGAGUCUAAUCCAUGUGCCAGAGAGUGGUCCGAAGGACAGGAUGUUCUCUGAUUUCCUGAUGGAGCAAUGUGCCUUCACCAUAAAUCAGAUUUGAAGAGGUUAAUACCCUCUUUUGUCUUCUGCCUUUCAAGCCUCACCAAGCUGAUCAUCAGUAUCCUUUUAUGUCACAUAAAAAUCAAUGCCUGAUCCAUCCAGUGUUUUCUGGUGGAAGAGAGGAUAGGGAACACUUGGAGAAGGACAUUCAUUUUUAUCCAAGAGACUCAGCCAAACAUAGAUCAUGAUUGUAUGUGACUUGCCUGGAAUGCCGAGCCACUGAAAACCUGCCUAGCGAGGUCGGCAGCCUACAGGGGGCGCCAGGAGAAAACUAAGAUUGCAGCACCACAACCCAGCCAAUAGGAGGCACUCAUGAGAGCAAAGGAUGCUGGUCACCACUCCGAGCACAACAGCUACAGCCACUGGGAUGAGAAUGGCAAUGAUCAACCCCACAGCUGGGAAAAAAUAAUGAAAAACAGUCUUUCGAUGGGCCUAUUCCACCAACGGUAUAAGCUCGUAAGUCCAGGCGGUAACUUGUUUUGCCUUGAAGAUCAAGUAUUCUCAAAGACUUUUUCGUUAGCCAUAUAGAGAAAAAUUGUAUCUCACACCAGGUUGAAACAGAGCUGCAGAAGAAUAUCACUGGUCCAGUAAAGAAGAGAGACAACUGUUGAUUAUUUUGUCUGCAAAAAAACUCUACAAAAGUACAUUACAAUGAUUUGGAUAUGUAUAUAUGCAUAUCUGUUUGUUUUUCCUAAAGUUAAUUAAGUAUUUUAGGAAAAAAUUGUCAGAUCGGCAACUAGCAAGAGUUGGUAGCCACACUCUGAACCCCUGCUCUAACGUCUGGAGAACAAGUUUUCAAGAGAAAAAUAUGAGCAUUGAAGUUGUUAGGACACAAAAUGCAUGCAUGUAUUAUGGAGGCACAGAAGAAUCUGAAUCUGCCAGCUGGCAUCUAAUUCAUGCUGGAAGACUGAGCCACUAUCGUUCCACUUCAGAUAUAAUGUGGCUUCAGGAGGUGGGACUAUGCAUGCAUCCCUGCCCUGCAACUGGAACUGGCUGGAACCAGGACCCUGGAGCCCCGACCUGGAGCAACUUCUGCUGGGAGCUGCAGCCCCAUGGCAUCCUGGCCUUGGUGGGGGCUGCAGCCCGGGCCAUGUGCCCCAACCCCACAGCAUCCUGGGCUUAUCAGAGGCUGUGCAAACUAACCCCAUGGCUUUUGCCAGGGGAUGCAGCUGAGGUUACGCCUCACUUGUGGCUUCCCAGGGCCAUGCGCCCCAUAUCCCAUCCCUGGCUGCAGCCAGGGCUUGACAGGGGCUGCAGCCAGCACACCUCUGUCCUGCAGCGGCGGCCAGCACACCCCUGUCCUGCAGCGGCAUCCAGCUCAGGAGCAGGGGCUGUGUGCCCCCCAUGGCUGCAUCCCACGCUGCGGUUGCUGAAGCUGGUGCUGUGUCCCCCACUAUGGCAGGGGCUUUGGCCUGUCAGCCCUCCACCCCCAUGCCAUGAGACUCCAUUCCUCCCCCCAUGCCUAGCCCUGCCCCCCACUUAUUUUUAGUAAAGUCACGGAUAGGUCAUGGGUUCCGUGAAUUUUUGUGUAUUGCCCGUGACCUGUCUGUGACUUUUACUAAAAAUAACCGUGAUAAAAUCUUAGCCUUACACAUAAUUAAUGAUAGACUCAACGGAUAGAUAGGAUGUGGCUUGAGUUCUCACUCUCCUUACCAUUUCAUAUGUAAUUGGAGAGGAGAAAGAGCUUGGAAAGUGCCCAGAUCUUCCUCUCAGGGCUGGGGGGUGGGGAAAAGGAAAAAGUCACAACAAUGUCCAACUUCCUGCCAAUUAACUAUUCCUCACUUAAAUGGGACCCUGGCGCUUUCCCCUUUUGAAGUGGUUUGAAUAAGAGGACUUGGGGAGGUUUUUGGACUUGCCCUCACAGACCCUGACUGAUAAGUCUAAUAUACCCUAUUGAAUUUCAAGUGCUGAAGAGAACUAAUCCUGUGCAGAGACAUUUCCAAAAGGAUCUUGGCCACUGAGAGUAUGUGGAAAGCAUCAGGUAAAGGUCUGGUGGAUGGGAUUAGCUGUGGCUGAGCUCCCGUUCAGUGGCUCCCAAGAAUGUCUCCUCACCUUAUUGCUUUCCGUGCCACUUGCCUACUCCACCAUGCUAAGGGAAGGGGGAAUAAACAGAGUCAGCAGCUCACUGGGUGAUCUUGUUCAGGAUGCAGAGCCUCAGAAAAUUUGUUCCUCCAAACAAGAUGGUGGUGAGGGGUUUCACUUCACUACUAACACACACAGGUACUCUUUACAAACUGGGAUGGCAAUUGAAAAUGCAGACACACUAAAUUGCCACUCUCUGCACCACUGGAGGCAGAGAACCUGGUGUGUGAGGUGGGGAAGGGGUGCAGCCAAGCCCUGCAACUGGAUGAACAAGUGUGAGCUGUCUUCACUAUUCACAAAUAUCAGAACCGAGGAAGAAAUCAGGAUCCAGAAAAGACUUAGAACCUCAUGCCUAGUGCAGGAUACAAAAAACUGGCAGAUUUUCAUCCUGGUGAAUUACACAUGGAAUGCACGAAAGUUCUAGAGAUGUGCCUGAAAAUAUUAAACUUUUUUAGUGUACCUUAAAAAUCUAAACUAUAUUCCAUUUC